GACGAACGCUGGCGGCGUGCUUAACACAUGCAAGUCGAACGCUGAAGCUCAGCUUUUGUUGGGUGGAUGAGUGGCGAACGGGUGAGUAACACGUGAGUAACCUGCCCCCUUCUUUGGGAUAACGCCCGGAAACGGGUGCUAAUACUGGAUAUUCACUGGUCUCCGCAUGGGGGUUGGUGGAAAGGGUUUUUCUGGUGGGGGAUGGGCUCGCGGCCUAUCAGCUUGUUGGUGGGGUGAUGGCCUACCAAGGCUUUGACGGGUAGCCGGCCUGAGAGGGUGACCGGUCACAGUGGGACUGAGAUACGGCCCAGACUCCUACGGGAGGCAGCAGUGGGGAAUAUUGCACAAUGGGCGCAAGCCUGAUGCAGCGACGCCGCGUGAGGGAUGGAGGCCUUCGGGUUGUGAACCUCUUUCGCUCAUGGUCAAGCCGCAACAAUGGUUGUGGUGAGGGUAGUGGGUAAAGAAGCGCCGGCUAACUACGUG
rnacentral:rRNA from 1 species